CUUCCACAUCCAAAGAUAAAUUUCCCUAAUAUUGCCUCAAAUUUCAAUUUUCCACAAACUUUUUCCUCUAAGUGGAAACACUUACAAGCAUGAUCCAAUAAAAAAGUUUAGGGUCGGGAUUUCGACGUCCAAAAGCUAGGUAGGGUCGGGAAACCGGAAACCCACAUAUUUCUUUUUUGGCCUUAGAGUCGUUCCUUACUAUGCGACUACUCACCCUCCAGCUAUUUAAAAACAGUACUGACGGUUAAGGGAAGCUCAGAUUGAACCUCCACUCUUUGAGUGCGAGUGUGGUUUUAGCAUACAGGCGAUACAGCCCAAUUUGAGACAGUUCAGACACGACAGUUUGUUGUAGAAUACUACCACCUACACUGGACCACCACGUUUGUUUGUUUUUCAGAUGUUAUUUGAAUGCUAUGCGAAUCAAGACACAAUGCGAAUUUCUCGAACAGAUCUAUGGAUAGGUUUAGCCGCCGGCGGCUUGAGGUCUGCAGAAGCGACAAUCGACGAUUAUUUCUCGGACAAAAACAGUUUUGAUUUCCUAGAUUUUUUGACCUAUCUGCCACUAUUUCAGGAAAUUCAUGGAUAUGUUGUCGAAAAUCCGCUCACUUUGUUUUAAAAGGCAGGUGAAAUGAUUAAAAUAGCUGCUAUUUAUUGUUUACAUGUGGUAUAUAACGUAUAUUUAUGUCGAAAUAUUUUUCAGAUCAUUCCGGAAUACGUCACAACUACACUGUUUUCAACUUAGGACCACCUUAAAUGGAAAGGAUUUCAAGUUUUUUUCUCAUGGGCUUUGCACAGAGAAGCAGAACAUCCUUCUUCAACACAUGCGAGAAAAAAGUUUGGAUUUUGAUCAAUAAAUGUGGAAAUAAGUUUUAACACGAAAACGAGGCUCCAGUCAUGGCCUGAAGCCUCGUUUUCGUGUUAAAGCUUAUUUCCACAUUUAUUGGUCAAAAUAAAGAAUUCUUUUUCAUGCAUGUGUUGAAGAAGGAUGUUCUGCUUCUCUGUGCAUAGCCCAUGAGAAAUAAACUUGAAAUCUUUUCCAUUUAAGGUGAUCCUAAGUUGAAAACAGUGUAGUUGUGACGUAAUUAUCGAAAGGGUGUAUACCAUACAAACACUGGUUUAAAAUAUCGUUGAUUAUACUCGAUUCACAACGUUGAUAAAAACGAAAUAUAUUCCUCUUCCUGGCAGCAAAAUCCAAAAAUAAAAAUUUCCUGUGUGAGUCAAAUAUAAAACGUCCCGGUAGGUAGAUUUCAGAGAAAGUACGGUGAUAAACAUUGUGAUAAACUUCAAUCUGGGCAAAAGACGAUCUCCAGGCCUUAAAAUAUCGGUCGGUCACGGACAUUGUCCGACCCAUUCGUGAAAUUGUCCGACGUAGAGAGGAAACCACCGGACAUUCUGUCCGACCUAAGUGAAAGUGAGGUUUAUUCUUUGUCCGACCCGAUUGAAUUGGUGUCCGACCGAACUGUAGCAUUGUCCGACGCUUUCUCCACGCACGUAAAUCAAAAUGUACCCUAGUCCAGGACUAGAGGCUCGUA